UGGGGAAUAUUGGACAAUGGGCGAAAGCCUGAUCCAGCAAUGCCGCGUGUGUGAAGAAGGUCUUCGGAUUGUAAAGCACUUUCGACGGGGACGAUGAUGACGGUACCCGUAGAAGAAGCCCCGGCUAACUUCGCGCCAG
rnacentral:rRNA from 1 species